UAUUACAUAUAUGUCGAUUAAUGACAUCAUUACAUUGUCUCUGCCAAUAAAAAGCUUAAAUUCCUAAUAAAAUAUAGUGAUUAAUUGAUUCAAAUUGGAUUAACGCAUUCAUUCGAAUGUGCCGUAAGAUAUCUUGAAAAUCUAGUGACAAAAAGUCCUUGCAGUAGUGCGUAGUUUAUAUCUGAUUUAGGGCUAAUUUCACCACCUUUGAUUAGAUUAGGUUAGACGAUAUCCAUUGAGAGAUCUGCUUUUUUGAAAAUGCAGUGUUCUCAUUGGAUAUUGUUUAUCGUUAUUCCCUUGUUCCUACCGUUAUCACCUCGCAUUAUGCAAGAGGUUUCCCAACAAUCGAAAAUAUAAAGAAAAGCCGAUCAAACACAUUUUCCAUAAUCGUAACCGUGACAUAAGGAUUCGAUCAAUCGCAUUGCUUAAUUUGGCUGUCGCGUUGUUAUGAAGAGCCGAAUUAAGCAAUGCGAUUGGUUUAAAUCAGUUUAUGGCCAUCUGAAUGGAUCGUACUAGCCAUCCAGUAUCAGAAACGAAGAAGGUAACAGAAAGAAAAAAAGGAAAAUUGUUUAUUUUAUGCGUCUCAAGGAUAUGUACCAAUAUUAUAUAUUAUGUACUGUUUUCUAGCUAUUAGACAUAUGAUGAGAUGAUUCACAGAUGCAUUAAUACAGAUCCAUUAAUUUUGAGUUGAACGCCUUCACAAAGCUUUCCUUGAAUCGUAUAGCAUCUGUAUUUCCAGAAAUGACUAUUGUGUGCUUGAUGAAACUGAAUUUAAUAUAGAAAAAUUCUUUCUUAUAAUAUAAGCUUCUAAUAGGUAAUCUAAUAAUCUCUUUAUAAUAAAUAAUGUUUACU